rnacentral:rRNA from 1 species
UACGAAGGGGGCGAGCGUUGUUCGGAAUUACUGGGCGUAAAGGGCGCGUAGGCGGCGACCCAAGUCAGAUGUGAAAGUCCUGGGCUUAACCUGGGGACUGCAUUUGAUACUGGGUUGCUUGAAUUCGGGAGAGGAUAGCGGAAUUCCCAGUGUAGAGGUGAAAUGCGUAGAGAUCGGGAGGAACACCGGCGGCGAAGGCGGCUGCCUGGACCGGCCCUGACGCUGAGGCGCGAAAGCUAGGGGAGCAAACAGG